rnacentral:rRNA from 1 species
CACGUAGGGUGCGAGCGUUGUCCGGAAUUAUUGGGCGUAAAGAGCUCGUAGGCGGUGUGUCGCGUCGGCCGUGAAAACCUGCAGCUUAACUGUGGGCUUGCGGUCGAUACGGGCAUCACUGGAGUUCGGCAGGGGAGACUGGAAUUCCUGGUGUAGCGGUGAAAUGCGCAGAUAUCAGGAGGAACACCGGUGGCGAAGGCGGCCUUCUGGGCCAUUCUUGACGCUGAGACGCGAAAGCGUGGGUAGCAAACAGG